CUUGCUGGGGGGUUUUCUUGAAAAACGCGCCGAGGCCGGUGGGGACCUGUACCCGUAAGCCCCAGGAGCCCAGCUGCAGAAGACCCUCAUGAAAGAGAUGCUGCUGCCAGCCUGGGCGCCAUGGAAACGUGAGAAGCUCCAGUGGUGUUUGUCUCAGGAAGAAUUGAUCCCCAUGCUGUGACCAGCUCAAGAACCAUCUGCCUCCCCUUCUUAAUUGGAGCUCCAGGCCAAUGAAGUUAUAAAUCAAGUCAGUAACACAUUUUACACUCCAGCUUUCAUGCUACUGUUGCAACCUUUCCAAGUGACAUUAAACUAUCAGCUUUGUCCAAAAGACUUGAUGCUUUCAGAUUGACACAGCUAACAGUCAGGUGCUCUGAAACAUUACUCUCUAGCACUUUUCUAUGCUGUUGCUAGAGUGUUCAGUUUUCUCAUAUUUUUCAACUCCACCUAGUCCACAGAUCUAGUCCAGAAGUCCAGAAAGACUGAAGGGUGAAUUCUGUUCUGCAGCUCAGGAUUUCGAUGGUGCCCAGCCUUACGAUGUAGGAGCACAAGAAAAUGUGUGUGUCUGUGUAUGUGGCGGGGUCUGUACACAAUGUUAAGGACAACAGCAAUAUAAUCAAAUAGGAGAGGCAUCAGAGCUAUUCCUAACAGCACAGUAAAGCUGCCCAGCUCCCUUUCUCAACCUCCCUGUUGAGUGUGUUUAGGAGGUGGGGGGAAAGCAGAGCUCCUGGAAAAAGCCCACACUAACACAGGGGUGAACAUGCAAACUCCACACAGACAGCACCUGACCAGAAUCAAAGCCAGGACCCGGCCCCGGAGAGUGGCCAUGCUAGCGAGAACAGCAACAACAGCAAUCCCAUCUAAGGCAUACGGUAUGUUUCAGACAAAGGAUAUAUCUACUGGGGAUCAAGCUGGACUGCUGGGCAAGCAAUAAUGUAACAUUUACA